AUUGAACGCUGGCGGCAGGCCUAACACAUGCAAGUCGAACGAGCGGCGGACGGGUGAGUAAUGUCUGGGAAACUGCCCGAUGGAGGGGGAUAACUACUGGAAACGGUAGCUAAUACCGCAUACCAUCAGAUGUGCCCAGAUGGGAUUAGCUAGUAGGUGGGGUAAAGGCUCACCUAGGCGACGAUCCCUAGCUGGUCUGAGAGGAUGAACAGCCACACUGGAACUGAGACACGGUCCAGACUCCUACGGGAGGCAGCAGUGGGGAAUAUUUCACAAUGGGCGCAAGCCUGAUGCAGCAAUGCCGCGUGUGGGAAGAAGGCCUUCGGGUUGUAAAGCACUUUCAGCGGGGAGGCGUUACCCGCAGAAGAAGCACCGGCUAACUCCGUGCCAGCAGCCGCGGUAAUUC
rnacentral:rRNA from 1 species